GUGGUCAUAGCUCAAUGGUUAGAGCGCCUGCCUGUGGAGCAGGAGGUUGCCGGUUCGACUCCGGUUGGCCACCCCA
rnacentral:tRNA from 1 species